rnacentral:rRNA from 1 species
UACGGAGGGUGCAAGCGUUAUCCGGAUUCACUGGGUUUAAAGGGUGCGUAGGCGGUUCGUUAAGUCUGUCGUGAAAUCCCCGGGCUCAACCUGGGAAUGGCGAUGGAAACUGGGCAGCUAGAGUGUGUCAGAGGAUGGUGGAAUUCCCGGUGUAGCGGUGAAAUGCGUAGAGAUCGGGAGGAACAUCAGUGGCGAAGGCGGCCAUCUGGGACAACACUGACGCUGAAGCACGAAAGCGUGGGGAGCAAACAGG